UACGUAGGGGGCAAGCGUUGUCCGGAUUUAUUGGGCGUAAAGAGCGUGUAGGCGGCUGGGUAGGUCCGUUGUGAAAACUCGAGGCUCAACCUCGAGACGCCGAUGGAAACCCUCCAGCUAGAGUCCGGAAGAGGAGAGUGGAAUUCCUGGUGUAGCGGUGAAAUGCGCAGAUAUCGGGAGGAACACCGGUGGCGAAGGCGGUUCUCUGGGCCUUACCUGACGCUGAGGAGCGAAAGCGUGGGGAGCGAACAGG
rnacentral:rRNA from 1 species